AAUGACGGUACCUGAAUAAGAAGCCCCGGCUAACUACGUGCCAGCAGCCGCGGUAAUACGUAGGGGGCAAGCGUUAUCCGGAAUUACUGGGUGUAAAGGGUGAGUAGGCGGCAUGGUAAGCCAGAUGUGAAAGCCUUGGGCUUAACCCGAGGAUUGCAUUUGGAACUAUCAAGCUAGAGUACAGGAGAGGAAAGCGGAAUUCCUAGUGUAGCGGUGAAAUGCGUAGAUAUUAGGAAGAACACCAGUGGCGAAGGCGGCUUUCUGGACUGAAACUGACGCUGAGGCACGAAAGCGUGGGGAGCGAACAGGAUUAGAUACCCUGGUAGUCCACGCCGUAAACGAUGAGCGCUAGGUGUCGGGGAGGAAUCCCCGGUGCCGCAGCUAACGCAAUAAGCGCUCCACCUGGGGAGUACGACCGCAAGGUUG
rnacentral:rRNA from 1 species